GAUGAAGAACGUAGCGAAAUGCGAUAAGUAAUGUGAAUUGCAGAAUUCAGUGAAUCAUCGAAUCUUUGAACGCACCUUGCACCCUUUGGCAUUCCGAAGGGUAUGCUCGUUUGAGUGUCAUUGUACUCUCACUCUCCCGAUACUUUUGGAUCGGGAGUGGUGGACUUGGGUGUUGCUGCUUUGCUGUGGCUCGCCUCAAAUGGAGUAGUGCAACUCUUGGUUGGACAUAGUACGGCGUGAUAAGUGUCUUCGCCGGCGCCUCAUUAUAGAGGGUGGCCGAUCGGGAGCUCUGUGCUUCAAACCGUCUUCGGACAACAUCUGACAACUUGACCUCAAAUCGAGUAGGACUACCCGCUGAACUUAAGCAUAUCAAUAAGCGGAGGA
rnacentral:misc_RNA from 1 species